rnacentral:tRNA from 1 species
UCCCUGAUGGCUCAGUUGGUAAAGAAUCUGUCUGCAAUGCAGGAGACCCGGGUUCAAUCCCUGGGUUGGGAA